UAGGGAAUCUUCGGCAAUGGACGAAAGUCUGACCGAGCAACGCCGCGUGAGUGAAGAAGGUUUUCGGAUCGUAAAACUCUGUUGUUAGAGAAGAACAAGGACGUUAGUAACUGAACGUCCUCUGACGGUAUCUAACCAGAAAGCCACGGCUAACUACGUGCCAGCAGCCGCGGUAAUACGUAGGUGGCAAGCGUUGUCCGGACUUAUUGGGCGUAAAGCGAGCGCAGGCGGUUUCUUAAGUCUGAUGUGAAAGCCCCCGGCUCAACCGGGGAGGGUCAUUGGAAACUGGGAGACUUGAGUGCAGAAGAGGAGAGUGGAAUUCCAUGUGUAGCGGUUAAAUGCGUAGAUAUAUGGAGGAACACCAGUGGCGAAGGCGGCUCUCUGGUCUGUAACUGACGCUGAGGCUCGAAAGCGUGGGGAGCAAACAGG
rnacentral:rRNA from 1 species